AUGGACACGUCGGCGUCCCCUGGCCCCAGCUCGUCCGCGCCGGAGCCUCGGCAAUGGGCCGGCGGUCGCCCCGGGCUGGGGUCCGCGGCGCUUGAGCUGGCCUGCAAGGUGCUCUGCGUCGUGGCGACGUGCGCCUUCGCCGCGGUGGGGUCGCUGGUCGGGGCGGUGUCGGGGUCGGUGAUCGGGCUGGCGACGGAGAGCGGGGUGGUGCGGGGCGCCGGCAUCGGCGCCAUCUCCGGCGCCGUCUUCUCCAUCGAGGUCGCCGAAUCGUCGCGGGACCUCUGGCACACCAGCGACUCCUCCGUCUGGAGCGUCCUCUUCAUGGUGGACAUCAUCCUCAGCCUGCUGAGCGGGAGGCUGGUCCGCGAGAAGGUGGGGCCGGCGGUGCAGAGCGCCGUGCAGAGUCAGAUAAGCGCCAUCAGCUCGCCGUUCACGGAGCCCAGCGACCUGUUCGAGACCGGCGGCGCGAGAGGGCUGCCGGCGCACGCGCUCCGGCGGCUGCCGGCGAUCAAGGUCGGCGCGGACACCGCGGUCGACGAGGCCGGGGAGGCGCUCUGCUGCUCGGUGUGCCUGCAGGACCUUGAGGUGGGCGAGUCGGCGAGGCGACUGCCCGGCUGCCGGCACGUCUUCCACGCGCCCUGCAUCGACCGCUGGCUCGUCAGGCACGCCUCCUGCCCGCUCUGCCGGCGAGACAUCUGA
rnacentral:rRNA from 1 species